AUUACUAGGUUAAUUUUCUAUUUUUUGUGGACUAUAACAACUGUGUUUUUCUUGUUUUCCUCUGUAUUCCAGAUCUGUCACUGUGUCUGGUACAUGCAUUAGACCAGGGUUCUCAUCCCUGGCUUGCACACCCAGAGCCUGGCCUGCACACCUAGAGCCUGGACCCAAAAACAACAAAAAAGUGAUGGAACUGGAUGCUCUCCCAGUCUUACAUUUCUAUGUAAAUGUGAAGGAGAAACAUGGCUACAAGGACCAGGUUCGAAAUUUUUCACAUUAAAAAAUUUUUGAAAAUAAGGAGCCCCAGAGAGAAUUCCUAGAAGAUGGCAGAGGAGGAAAAAGAGGAACCUAUCUUCCCACCUAGAUAAUAAUUUUACCAGUAGAAUCUGUCUAAUAUGAGAAAACCAAAGAACAGAUGUUAUCUGCCUUAGAUCACAAAACUGAUGUAAACAACAUGUGUGCUCCAGAUGGACUCUGAAAUCCAGGCUCCCACUUUAUGACACACUCAUUUACAACACCAGAGACUCCCAAACACAAGUCCUUAUAUUGACUCAUUUCAGCUCACAUCCUGGCGACUCUCAAGAGAGAAACCUCAGAGUGACUAAAAUCUCCAUAAUGAGAAGACAUGUACAUUCAGUGUCUAUUUUGGUAGGAGACUUUAUAUUCAGCCUUCUUUCUGUAGAGUGAGAUGUGGAGAUUUGGACUUAGAGUGGGCUGUAUGUGGGAUGGAGAGUAACAAGAUAAGCAAGGAAUUAACUCCAUAGUAAAUGUUAACACUUUCUACAUCUUUAACCCCAAUUUUAUGUGCCAAAGCAAGAAUCCCCACAACUGAUACCUUCGUGGCAGAUCUGACUUCAGGAAAGGCAACUCAGGCAGAUAUUUGAGUAGGCCUAGACUGUGUGGGCCUGUGGCCAGUCUCACAACAAAGCAGAAUCAACAGCCUUACAGUCUCAGAAAUGCAGUAGUCAUUCUGGUAAGCAAUAGUCAAAACCAAAAUUUCUUAAACUGAUUUUUUGCCUCUAUGGUCAAAGGAGAACUGAUCCUACUUGUUAUUUCAUAGAUGGAAAAAAUCCAUUUGCCAAUCAGGAUGUGUCUGAUACUCCUUUUUUUUUUUUGGUUUCAAGAGUAAAGUCAAGAAAAGCUGCUUUUUGAAAGUCAAAGAAUCACAGUAGUUGUUAUUUCUUAGUGUUUACUAUUUGCUACAUGCUUCACAUACAUGGUCAUUUAAUCUUCCCGAACAAUUUUGCCAUAAUAUUAUUACAACCAUGUUGAAUCUGAAAAAAAUAAUAAUAAUAUUAAGGCUUAGAGAGGUUGAGUAACUUACCUAAGGUUACCAAAUUAGUAAAGACUGAACUGGGAUUUAAAAGCAAGGUUUGUAGAAUUUUUCUCCAAAACCCAGAAUCUCUGCAUUGAGUCAGCCUGCCAUUCUGAGACAGACAACGUUCAUAACACUUGCAUAUUGUUUGUACAGUGUUCAUUUUUUAAUAUAGGGCACAUUUCAUACAUGCCAAGAGGAAUCAUAUGCUUAUUCUUGCUAGUAUAUGGCAAACUUGUCCAUUCUAUAAUACAAAUAUGACUGAUGUCUGCUGUCAUCAGUCCAGCAAAUCACCUUUCAUCACAGGUACACAGAUGACAAAUACAGAGUGCAGAAGGGGUCAGCUGAAGGUGCUGCUUGCCUGGGCUGUCCUUUUUUUUUUUUUUUUUUUACAUCUGCCUCUUCAUUUAUUUUAUUUGCAGGAGGAGUUGAAACAAAUUUUAAGGGAGAUUUUCAUUUUCCCCCUAAACAUGAAUCAUUCAAGUAAAACCAACUUAACUAUAGAAAUGUAGCAAAGUAAGGGGAAAGCAGCACAACAACACAAGAGGCAAAGGCUGGGGGGAAGGGGUGGGUGCAGUCUGCAUGUAACAUAUGCAUAAAUGACUUAUGAUUCACCUGCUCAGGACCACCUCCCCAGAAGGCAAGCACAAGGGCCCAUUUUAAGAGGAUGUUUCCCCCCAAACAUCUGAGAAUGCUUCAACUUAAACAGCUUAUGGUUAAAAAGACAAAAAAGAAAACAAAACUAACCAAAGAAACUCCAAAAAACCCCAUGAACCACCCAGCCAUAACCACCUUCCUUAAUCGAUCAUAGGAGUUUCAUUUUAU